rnacentral:rRNA from 1 species
UACGUAGGGUGCGAGCGUUAAUCGGGAUUACUGGGCGUAAAGCGUGCGCAGGCGGUUUUGUAAGCCAGAUGUGAAAUCCCCGGGCUUAACCUGGGAAUGGCAUUUGGGACUGCAAGGCUUGAGUGCGGCAGAGGAGACUGGAAUUCCUGGUGUAGCAGUGAAAUGCGUAGAUAUCAGGAGGAACACCGAUGGCGAAGGCAGGUCUCUGGGCUGACACUGACGCUCAUGCACGAAAGCGUGGGGAGCAAACAGG